rnacentral:rRNA from 1 species
AUACGUAGGGGACAAGCGUUGUCCGGAAUGACUGGGCGUAAAGGGCGCGUAGGCGGUCUAUUAAGUCUGAUGUGAAAGGUACCGGCUCAACCGGUGAAGUGCAUUGGAAACUGGUAGACUUGAGUAUUGGAGAGGCAAGUGGAAUUCCUAGUGUAGCGGUGAAAUGCGUAGAUACUAGGAGGAACACCAGUGGCGAAGGCGGCUUGCUGGACAAAUACUGACGCUGAGGUGCGAAAGCGUGGGGAGCGAACAGGAUUAGAUACCCUGGUAGUCCACGCCGUAAACGAUGAAUGCUAGGUGUUGGGGAAACUCAGUGCCGCAGUUAACACAAUAAGCAUUCCGCCUGGGGAGUACGACCGCAAGGUUGAAACUCAAAUGAAUUGACGGGG